rnacentral:rRNA from 1 species
UACGGAGGGUGCAAGCGUUUAUCCGGAUUCAACUGGGUUUAAAGGGUGCGUAGGCGGGUUGGUAAGUCCGUGGUGAAAUCCCCAAGCUUAACUUGGGAACUGCCGUGGAUACUAUCAAUCUUGAAUAUCGUGGAGGUAAGCGGAAUAUGUCAUGUAGCGGUGAAAUGCUUAGAUAUGACAUAGAACACCAAUUGCGUAGGCAGCUUACUACACGAUCAUUGACGCUGAGGCACGAAAGCGUGGGGAGCAAACAGG